GCCUGUUGUGAUGAGCUGAAACAAGUGAAACAAGACAAAGAUAAUUCAAAAAAGAAAAGGAAGAUACUCGAACAAGAAUUACUGAAAGCGAAACAGGGCAUAGAGGAAUCUGAAAAGACAAGGAAGGGGUUUGAACAAGAGUUACUGAAGGCGAAACAGUGUAUAGUUAAAUAUGAAAAGGAAAAAGCAGUAUUCAAGGAACAAAUUCAACACCUGAAAGACAACAUUAAGUG